UUUGAAAUUCGAUUUGAACAAAAGAUGGAAGAUUUUGAGGGUUAUCAAAUGAUACAUAGUGCGAUACAGUUAAAACAAAGUAUUGUAGUAAGAAUAGAUACCUUGAAUACAGGUAAACUUCUCAACGGAUUCUCUAUCAUCUCUUUUUUUUUUUUCGUUUCAUUUAAUUGGUCUAUGUUAUAGUGUUAUAGGAUAAUAAGAUGUUUAGAAAUCCUUUAUUUUUUCAACCUAAUCGCUCUUUUGACUUCGGAAAAAACUUUCUUUAUCAAUAUACUGUUUCUUCUACACACAUCUCCAUAAUCGAAAAUGGUAAUAGUUAGGAUUCAUUAAAAAAAUUGAGAACACACUCAUGGGACAAGAAACCCUUCCCGCACCAGGCACUAAUAAAUUUUUAACGUCUAAUUAGAUCGGGAAUCAUUCAAAUUAAGAACAAAAGCUCGUUGCUUUUUCUUUCCCUAUAAUUUAAUUGAAGCCGCAGCCUUAUCCAUUUAUUCAUUCGACCCAACUUUAUUUUGUUCCGUUCCAAGAAUUCUAACACAGUUUUAUACCCAUCUAGGAACAAUUAAAUAUUUUCAGAACUUUCCGUUGAUACGACAUGCUAUUUUUACCAUUCAUUCCCUUUCAGGAUCAGUCGCGGUCUUCCAAACUUUACCGAGAGUAUGGACGAAUCCCUCACCUCAUCCAUAUGUGUAAAAGACACUAGCCGCACUUAAAAGCCGAGUACUCUACCGUUGAGUUAGCAACCCGAAGAAAAUAUCGAAAAAAUUAUGUAGAUCCAAUCCGAAGAAAAAGAAAUAACUAGAUUAGACAAGACAACCAAAAACCAUUGAAAGAAGAAAUCGAAAAAAAUACAUUCACACUUUCGAAUUCAUUUAAAACAUAAAAUAAAACUAAAUAGAUCCACUUCAUUUAUCACAAUGAAUUAUAUUUGUUCGAUACACUGUUGUCAAUAUAAAUAUUGAAUAUUGAAAAAAAAAAAGUAGAAAACAAAACUACAAUUUACUUAAAUUUACUUAGAUUUAUUGAAUUCAUAAUGGAUUCAAUCAAGUUAACUGAGAUAAGCAAACUUGAUUUCAUUCCGAAAUGCCCGAAUUAACUAUUUAGAAGAUCAAUAAAAUAAGAGGUUUUGUCGUUAUAGAACACGGAAUUCACUGGAAGCAAUGAUAAAUAAAUACAAAUAGAAAAGGAAAGGGAGGAAAUACAAAAAAAUAGAAGAGAAAAGUCAUACAAAGUUAUAUACAAAUCACUACCCCCUUUUUUGUAUUUCCUUAAUUUAUUUCCUUAAUUGAAUUUCGGUUGAUUAAGACGAAGUUCCUUAAAAACCUCUGCCUUCUUUAAAAUAUCCUGAACAGUUUCUGUAGGUUGAGCCCCUUUUUCAAGGAAAUAUAAAAUAGCAGGAACAUUUAAAUAAGUUUGAUUCUUUAUCGGAUCAUAAAAACCCACUUUCUGAAGAUCUUUUCCUUCUCUUCGGGAUCGAACAUCAAUUGCAACGAUUCGAUAGACGGCUCAUUGGGAUAGAUGUAGAUGAACAACACCCCCCCUAGAAACGUAUAGGAAGCUUUCUCCUCGUACGGCUCGAGAAAAAUGAUUGAUUCGAAGUUUUGUCUCUGUAUGGAAUUCUAUCUAAGAAAUGACAACUGGAUCCAUAAAAUGAUCAAAGCAAUUAAAGAUCUAAGUCUUUUUUUCUUCGUUCUUCCUUAAAAUGAAAAAUAAACCAUUCGUACUCUCAUAACUCAAGUUGGAUAACUUUCAAACAGUUCAAAGGAAAAUCUUUCGGCAAUUUCAUUUAUUGAGCGGUCUUUCCUCCUUUUUUGUUUGUCUCGUUUAAAAUCGGAUUCUUCAGUCUGAUCCAGUUAUUAAGACAAUUAAAAAGGUGUUUCCUUGUUCUGGGAUCCUUUAUCUUUGUUUUAUUUUAAAUCAUUGGGUUUAGACAUUACUUCGGUGCUUUUUAAUCCUUUCAAAAUGGCAGCAACAUACCCUUUUUGCGAUUUUUAUGAAAGAAUCCUACAAGAUGAUGGAUUCCCUCGUGAAACACUUUGGAUCGAAAAAGUUUGAUCAAUUCCAAUAAAUUUUUUAAUUUGAAACUUGCUCGAAUUGGAUUCUUUCGAUUUCCAUACCUAAGAUAUAUUAGAUAUAUUUACGAAGUUGUUUCAAUUGUUUUAUUGAUUGGCAUUAACCCUAGACCCUUGCCCCGAGAAAGAAAUUAAUACUUUCUACUCGAGCUCCAUCAUGGACUAUUUACAUUCCAAGACAACAAAAAACGAGGGGUUCUAGUGAAACAGAACCAAUGAUGUCGAGUUAAGAGCACCUUCAUUCCUACAAAAAAUGGUGGAUGUACAAAUCCACAACGGAUCGUGUCCUUCAAGUCGCACGUUGCUUUCUACCACAUCGUUUCAAACGAAGUUUUACCAUAACAUUCCUCUAAGAACCGGUAUGGAAUUGAUUCAAUUAUGGAAUCAUGAAUAGUCAUUGGUUGGGCUGAUGUAUAAACACCAUAAUCUAAAGUAUUUUCUAUAUCUUCUAUAUCUAUAGUAUAUAGAUAUAAAUAAUACUAUAGAUUAAUACUAUAGAUAUAGGGUGGAUAAAUAUUUUUCUGAAGAAGUCUUAGUAAGACCCCAUCGCUAAUAUUAAAUUGUCUAACAUUAUAAUAUUAAUUAAUAAAUAUAUAUAAAAAAAUUUUUUAUAUAAAUAAAAUAAGACGAAUAAACGAAUUCUUUUUAAUUCUGCAUCUUCACGUGACUUAAUAGGAGAGAAAGAUUCAGCUUCUAAGGAAUGAUUUAAACUAUUUCUCUUUCGAAAUUUCGAAUCAAUUUCGAAAGUUCCCCUCUCGACAUCAUUAUUCCAAGAAAAUUUGAUAGUUAAAAAUAACUUUUGAUCAUCUUAGGAAAAAAGAUAAGUCUUUUUUUUUUUUUUUUCAUCUGAUUAAUAAAAUCCAAAGAAUGGGGAGGGUUUCGUAUCUAUCAAUUCGAUCAAAUAGACUGAGCAAUUGUCACCGUUUAUAGAUAUUGAAAUGAACGCCUUCCCAUCACUGAUUAACUCCUAUCUACCCCAUUCUCUGGGACUGAUGCAGCAUAAAUCAAAAGAAGGGGAUGUCCUAGUCUUUUUUUUUACGAAAUGCGAGCUGGCUGGGCACAAAGCCAAACAAGCCCAGAUUAAGUCCAGUUUUUGCUCCUUUUUUCUAUUUUAGCCUACCUCAUUGAUUAAGAAUUAAGAGACUUAGUGAAUUGAAUUAGUACCAAAAACCCCUUCUUGGCGAAAAGUCAAGAAAUCCACAAAAAAGCAAAUUGAAUCUAAUUAGGCUAAUUUAGGGGGUAGAGAAUAUGAGAUAGGGAAUAUGGAUUCUUUCGUAUCUCGAUUCAGUUUUUGAAAAAAAAAAACGAUUCAUCGAAGAAAAAAAUCAGAAACAACAAUCACAUUCCAGCUAACAUUUCGAUUUUAAACAGAACAUUGUUAAAAAAGCAAUCUAUAUUGUCAGAGAAUAUAUAUGUUCUGGGACGGAAGGAUUCGAACCUCCGAAUAGCGGGACCAAAACCCGUUGCCUUACCACUUGGCCACGCCCCAUUUAGAUUUCUAUGCGAUACUAAUAAAGUAUAUUGCUGGUUUUGUUUGUUUGUCAACUCUAGCCCAAAUAUCUAUAGAAUCGAUUAGAUUGGUAUUCGGAUUUUUCUAUGUUUUUGGUAUGUGUAGAUAUAGAAUUCAACUUAAUUUAUUGAUCAUUACAUAUAAUUCAAUUAAGAUAUUGUAUGAAAAUAUUAUUUUUUCGAUUCUCCUUUUCUCAAAGGAGGAUUUUUGAUUGGGUGGGUUCAAAGAAAAAGAAGGAUUUUUUGUUUACCUUACUUACUUUCCUUUUCCUUAUAACUUACUUUCCUUUUCCUUAUAUAAAUAACUCAAUCAAAAUGCAAUUAUCUCCAAGAACAAAAAGUCUGUUAUGCUUAAUACCUUUAGUUUGAUCGGUAUCUGUCUUAAUUCGACCCUUUAUUCGAGUAGUUUUUUCUUCGGCAAAUUGCCCGAGGCCUAUGCUUUUUUGAAUCCAAUCGUAGAUAUUAUGCCAGUCAUACCUCUGUUCUUUUUUCUCUUAGCCUUUGUUUGGCAAGCUGCUGUAAGUUUUCGAUGAGAUCCUUAAUAAUAUCCUAGAAAAUUCAUGAUUUAUUCGAGAAAAAAUUCGAAAAUCAAUAAAAUCAGAUAAGCUUUACCGUUUGAAAUCUCGAUUCAAACAUUGAAAUUCUUGGAUAGUCACGAGAAAUCCGGCUUAACUUAAUUUCCUUCUUUUUUGGCGCUUUCCUUUCCAGUGAAAGACCUUAUUAGGCUCCUCUUGUGUAUAUAAAAAAUUUGGUUAAUGACAAACUCUUAUUAUAAAAGAAUUUCUGAAAAUUCUUUUAGAGAAAAAGCUUCGUUGCUUGGUGUCAAACUAGGAUAUGCGAUGGAUGAUCUAUUCUCUUUUUUUUUUUCAAAAAAAUCAUCUUGGAGAUUGUGUAAUGCUUACUCUCAAACUCUUCGUUUACACAGUAGUGAUAUUUUUUGUUUCUCUCUUCAUCUUUGGAUUCCUAUCUAAUGAUCCCGGACGUAAUCCUGGACGUGAAGAAUAAAAUAAAAAAGUUUUUUCCUUGCUUGAUUUUCAAAUUUUCUUAGGAUUUGGUCUAUUCCACACAUUUAACUAAGAAUAAGAACAAAGGAUUUCGAAAUUUGAAAAAAAAAAAUCAAGUCAUCAACGGAAAGAGAGGGAUUCGAACCCUCGGUACGAUUAACUCGUACAACGGAUUAGCAAUCCGCCGCUUUAGUCCACUCAGCCAUCUCUCCCAAUUGAAAAAGAUAAUUAAUACAUGAGAUAGCACAUUAAGAUAAAGGAAAGAAUCUUUCUUUCUCUCUUUUCUUCUUUCUAUAUUAUAUAGAUAUGUACAACUUUUAUCAUCAAUUUCCUUUAUCUCUUUAUCUAAAGUAAAGGAAGGGCUCAGAAGAGCCAAGAAUCUCAAGAAAAAUAAAGAAGACCUCUUUUCUUUGUC
rnacentral:lncRNA from 1 species